rnacentral:lncRNA from 1 species
CUUUUUUUAAAUCUCAAAUUAUAUUUCUCCCUAAAACUAGAACACCUACAAUAUGUUUCCAUUUUGGUAAUUUGUGUAUUGUUGGAAUUUUCCCCCCAGCUUCAAACAUCCUUUGAAAAUAACACACUUUUUUCUAAAAAUAAGAAAUGGUUCUAAAACGAUAGAGGAAAAAUAUGCUCGUCUAACCAUAUUUUUUUUAGAGAAAAAAACCAAGCUGCUUUAAAAACUGAAAGACAAAGAAAGUAUAUUUCACUAUAAAUUAUUCAUUGCACUCAUUUUGGAUCAAUAUUUAUAGAUAUUCACAUGCUUUUUAUAAAGCUUGGGAGAUUCUUUUAAAUGUCAUAAUUUCCUCCUCAAAGUCAAUGUCAGAAGCACAGCUUAGUACUGGCAAUAAAUGAGCGCCACUUGAGGCACAUGCCCUAUUUUCUCCAUCCUUUAGCAUCAGGGCAGCUUGAAACACUGUGGAUUUCUGCCACUCCAAAACACCUCAUUACUGACCUACUACGUUCUGCCAAGUGGCUGAAUUUUAUAGGAAUAAACAGAGAAACUGGUCGCCCUAACCCCCUGAAUAAGAACAGAAAUGCAGCCACUCAGGAUCAUGGUUCUAAAUAGCAGAAUUUGGAGUAAGUAGAAUUUGCAUUCAAUCCCAUGAACCCACAGUAAGCGAGCAAUGAAGGUUCCUAGAAAGCCUGGUUGUGGGGGGCCCUGCUUACACUUCACAGCUUUCUGGAGAACCAUUUCCUGCCUUUGGUUUGCUGGGGACAAGUCUGAAGAAGAGGUUUAGAAGAGAGAGGGGGUCAAAUCAGAGAAUGCCCUGCCAAUAUCAAAUAUCAUCUGCGUCACUCCUUUCAUGCUCCCAAGAGCUCAGAUUUCCCUACUGUGAAAAGAUCAGCAACUACAGGGCUCUCUUCUUAGGCCGUUUGCCAGGAGCAUUGCUGCAGUGACAGAAAAACGGUUUUCAAAAGCUGCCACAAUUAAUUCACCUAUCUUCUUUAGGAACCAAAAAAAUUUCCUCCUUGCACCAUCAGAAAAACAUUGUUUUUGUAUCUUCCUCAUUUUUUGUUUUUGAUUACCUGCCCUUCCUAAGGCAAAAGAAUGGGAAAGCAAAAGAAUUUUGGAAAUUCUAAGCAUAGUAAAAAGUCAAAGAAAUUAUCACCGUUAUUCUUACUGACUGCACAAACAAUUUUCUUUUCUGUUACGUUGAAGAGAUGGGGCCAAUGAAAUUGUAUAAUUGUGAAUGGUUUUGUAGGAACCAAAAAUAAAGUCUAAAUCUGAAAAUGUAGGACGUAGUGCAGCCAGGUACCCUCAUCUGGGUCUUGCAAUUCUUGCUUGUCCUGUGUCACAAAUGGGUGCUCCCAAAACAAUGGUUGGACUUUCAAAGGGCAGCAGAAUUCAGCAACAAGGCCAGUGUUUACAUUGAAUGCCACCGUGAAAAGGUCUUGCACCCUUUAUUCUUGAUCUUAAAAUAAUCACUUCAUUCAAAUGGCUCUUUUCAAUAAACGCAUUGCCUUCCAAGCAGUAACAGCAAUUCAGUCACUGACUUUACUAGCAUUUGUAAUCUGGAAUUUUUUUUAACGAUUUUAGCUGCAGAAUGCUUUGGUAAUCUUCAGGUUGAAGGGUGUUACAUCACUGUGAGAAAUCACUAAUGCCAAAUAAUAAGUUUAGACAAAAAGCACUAUAUGCAAACCUUGAUACAUAUCAAAAGAGUUACAAAAGCCCUUCUAGAAAAUGAUUGAUGGUAAUCUGAGCACGAUUUUUCUUGAGCAGGGUACGGGCCACACUUUAGUGAAUAAGGAACAAAGUAUUUCCGUUGUAUUUAUUAUUCCAAUAUACAGACCCAUCCCAAAUUUCAGCUGUUUUUUUCCUCUUUCUCAAUCAAAACCACACCAGCUUGGGGCCAAUGCCAAUACACACACUUCCUAUCUUUGUUUGAGGCUCCCUGCAUCUCCAGAGAGCACUGAUGUAGUCCAGCAUCUUGCUUGAAGCCUGCAGCCGUUUCCUCAGAGUCUUCCUUACAAGACUCCAAUGCUUCAGUGACUUUCUGCAUCAGCAGUUCCAUCUUUGGGGCACGAAGAUUGAUUUUCUUUCUUCCUACAAGGCAAAAGUCCAGAGUGUGUGCCCCCCGCCUCCUACCCAGAGGGACAGACAAUACAACCACCAGGAUCAACUUGAAAAACUCGUCCAGGGGGAGCCUUCCCACCACCUCUGUGCUUCUUACUAGGUUAAGUGCUCCAUAUAUCAAUGAAGGCGAGCCCCGCUAACCCGAGUUCCCACAACAGCUGCGUGCCGUAGUUAUCUGUUUCUGAAUUUUUGUAACCCUCCAUGGCUCCUGCACAGAAAGUCUGCACACAGCAUUUCAGGGCAUGCGUGAUCAUUCAGAAUGGAAUUUUGAAAUGGGGGCCUGAAGAUCACAUCUUGGUCUAGGGUUGCAUUAAAAAUAACAAGGUAUCUGAUUGGUUAGGAAAUCAUGAAUGUGGCCAUACAUCUAUGUGCACCUUACCAAUGUUAUUUAUGGUUGUUUUUAACACUCAAACUGCCUCAAUGUGUUAAUAGAUUGCUUAAAAAUAAAAGUUUUCAUAUUUCAGAACUGGGAAAAUUCCCCUUUUAAAGCAGGCUUAAGAGUCUCAGGAACAUAUUUGAAUUUUUAAUUGAAAUAGUUGGGGAAAGGGAAGGGCAAAGUUUAAUGAGCCUCAACAAUACAUCUCUUUGCAGAGGGAUUACGUUCUGCGCUUUAAGAAAGUACUUUUCCAUUUUACGCAGAGGAGAUUGAUGGUAGGACAAGGCAGUGGAGGUAAAGAGAUAAUAUGAACACAUGUGAAGUAGACCAACCAGAUUCCACAUUUACCAGUAAUGUGGACCUACAAACUUAUUUAAAGAGCGUGCGUGAAAUAAUGUUAUGUUGUUUAUUAAUAUCACAGAUUUAAGAGUAACAAUAUGUUAUGUUUCCUAAGCUCUACCUCUAUACAAAUAAAAUAAAUAGUAAUGAUUAGAAAGACACAAACUGGAAAGGCACUCACGUUAUUUUAAUAGAAACUACACUAUGAUCUUAGCUAGGAAGGGCAUUGGUCAUUUCCUCAUUCGCAACUGACUACUACAGUUUUCUAGAAGAAAAUGGCAAAAACCUCCAAAUCAUCCUUUGAAUAACAAAUUAAGCAAAUAAAUGUUGCCUUGAAUCAAGGUAUGAAAAUUGGCUAUUUCACUUUUUCGAAAUCAUCCAUACAGUUAAUUGACAUUUGAUUAUACUGGCAUGAUACUUCAAAUUUUAAAAAUUAAAUUAUUACCAUGUGGUCUGUCUUUGAAACCAUCCAUAACACAUCUUUAGAAAAAUAAAUGUGAUACCAUCUGAUGAUAUAUUAAAUUGUGAUUUGUUUUAUUCACAAAGUGAUUUAUUUUAGUCUAUAUUUGCUUUCUAUGCUAUAUCAACCUUAAUAUUUUCUGAUACAAGUUGCCAAAUAAAUAUUCUUUAUCAACUCAAAUGCAUAGCAUGUGUUUGCAUCCUGUUUAUCAAGACACGCUUUAUGAAGUCCCUCACAUUUUCGAAAGAACCUAUUGAAAUAAAAUUUGAAGAAAAUGUCCACAAAUGAAGAAGGAGAGAACUUAGCCAAUGUCUGGAGAUUUAAAUGUCAAAUUCAUAUCAAAAUUUCUCAUGAUUAUAUAAAGCCACAUAAUCUUAUAAAGAAAAGUGAGUACGUUUAUCUUUAAUAAUACAAAUAAAUAAAAGAGCAGCAGAGAUUCACAGUCCCUCUAUGACUUUCAUUAACAGAAAUCUGGCAAGCAAACUAUUACAAGUAGUGUUGACUUAGCAACAUUUUUUUUUUUUUUGGUGGUAGGGAGUGGUGAUGAAAAGGGCAGAUUAGAAUGAUAUACGUCAAAUAUUAGUAGCCUUUUAAGAAGCCAUCGCCCAUGGCCCUUAACCCUUUACAGAUGGCAAAUCAGGUGCAGAGCAAAUGAAAUUAAGAUGAUACUUUGUUGACAGGAGCAAGCAGAUUCCGUUUUCAUCCCUACAGACAACAGGAAUGACAUCACAUCUUUUCAAACUGACAUGUUAAUGAAUUUAGCAACACCUGAACUUUUCUGGCACUGGACACCUUUGACCCAGUAAGUUCUUUCGUGUCAGUAAUAAUAGGAUUCCGUAUCAUUCCCUCACUCCAUAUUUGAUGGCAGAAUUACCUUUUGGGCCCUAACAAGUUGACAGGGUUUCAUUUUGCUUCCUCUUUUAAUGACAUCUUCUUUGCAGGUGAACUGGAGAUGUAAUGACUUCCUUUUUUGUCUUGGAGGAUUCCUAAAUGUCAAGGAGAGGCCCAAGACGUCUCAAUCUCGCUUAACGCAAACGGGAAGCCAAGGGUUUUUAAAGGUGAAACAGAUCUUGCUAAUGAAGCGGUAUCACUCUUCUUGGGGCGUGCAGCUUGUUAGUCCGAGUGAGACACUGUUAAAAAGGAGCUUUAAUGGAAACUAUUCAAACAGACGAGCCAUGAAACUUUUGUUCAAAGAAAAAUGUGUUCUUUAUGGGUUACUUUCCUAUCAUGUUGAAUCUUACGGUUCCUGGGGUUCAGUUCUUUUUGUUUUGGAGUCUUCAUAACUCCAAUGACCUGCAAUCAACUUCCAUCUUGAAUAAACUUUCCAAAUGUUUAAUGAGUGUGUAAUUUACUUUUACUAGCUAACUGGCCUUGGUACACAGAGUUUUUAAAGAUCCAAAGCUACCUCUGAUAAGAAAGUGUUGGAAAACCCAAACAAAAAAUAUUUGUUUUCUUAAGAAGGAAUUCAUAAAAACCAUGGUACUGGAUUUGAAUACAAAAGUGCUAUGCAUAAGUUUUCACAAACACACCACUUAUAAAAUGUAGCAUCAGUUUAUCAAGAAAAAGUUGGCUUAACGCUGCACUUACCCUUAAGUUAUCUAGAUUGCUGUAGCUUAGGUUCUUUGUGUAACACAGGGUUAGUUUUCAUCCACUGGAAACACGCCGGACUUGAAACCUUAGCAGGACAGUAGAUGCUAAUCCAGGGUAAAGCCUGAAGGAGGGAAACAGUAUAUAUUAAGAGAAAGCCUUAUGAUGAUCAUGGGAUCAAAACCAAACAUACUCUUAUCGAUGAUUCUUUGGGUUAGAGUCAAUCCAUGGAAAGCCCCUCACAAUCCCAGAAGUUUUCUGGGACAUGUCCAAC